UACGGGGGGAGCAAGCGUUGUUCGGAAUUACUGGGCGUAAAGCGUGCGCAGGCGGUUCGUUAAGUUCGUUGUGAAAGCCCCGGGCUCAACCUGGGAACUGCAAUGGAAACUGGCGGGCUUGAGUGUGGCAGAGGGGGGUGGAAUUCCGCGUGUAGCAGUGAAAUGCGUAGAGAUGCGGAGGAACACCGAUGGCGAAGGCAGCCCCCUGGGCCAACACUGACGCUCAGGCACGAAAGCGUGGGGAGCAAACAGG
rnacentral:rRNA from 1 species